UACGUAGGGUGCGAGCGUUGUCCGGAAUUAUUGGGCGUAAAGGGCUCGUAGGCGGUUUGUCGCGUCGGGAGUGAAAUCCACUGGCUUAACUGGUGGCUUGCUUUCGAUACGGGCAGACUGGAGGUAUGCAGGGGGAGAACGGAAUUCCUGGGUGUAGCGGUGAAAUGCGCAGAUAUCAGGAGGAACACCGGUGGCGAAGGCGGUUCUCUGGGCAUGUCCUGACGCUGAGGAGCGAAAGUGUGGGGGAGCGAACAGG
rnacentral:rRNA from 1 species